rnacentral:rRNA from 1 species
UCCCUCAGUAAGGGCGACUGAAGCGGGAAGAGCUCACCGUGUGAAUCGGCAUUUAUGCCGAGUUGUGGUCUGUAGAAGCAUUGUCGGUCGAGGUUCCGGGCUAAGUCUCUUGGAAAAGAGCAGCUGAGAGGGUGACACUCCCGUUCUUGCCUGGAAUCUGCGAUCAUGGCACGUGCCUUCAACGAGUCGAGUUGCUUGGGAUUGCAGCUCAAAUGCGUGGUAUACUCCAUGUAAAGCUAAAUAUAGGUAGGAAACCGAUAGCGCACAAGUACUGUGAAGGAAAGAUGCAAAGAACUUUGAAAAGAGAGUUAAAGAGUACCUGAAACUGUUGAAAGGGAAGCAAAUGGAAACAGUGUGUUUCCGUACCAUUCUUCCUUCGUGGCUUGCCACGGGGGCGCUGUGGUGCGGGAGUGGUCAGCAUGGGUUUGACUCGGAACAUAUAGCUAUUCAGGAGGCAUCUGUCUUUUCAGAGAUUACUGUUUAGUGUUGUUCUGGGUUGGAUCGAGGUUAGUAUUUCGUGAUGCUGACGAAAUGUUUCUAUUUACCCCGUCUUGAAACACGGACCAAGGAGUCUAACAUGUUCGCGAGUAUCUGAGUGGCAAACUCAUAUGCGCAAUGAAAGUAACAGUGGUAGGACCUUCUGGGGCACUAUCCGCCGGCAUUGAUCCUUCGGGAGAAAGGUCUGAGUGUGAGCAUACAUGUUGGGACCCGAAAGAUGGUGAACUAUGCCUGAAUAGGGUGAAGCCACCGGAAACGGUGGUGGAGGCUCGUAGCGGUUCUGACGUGCAAAUCGAUCGUCAAAUUUGGGUAUAGGGGCGAAAGACUAAUCGAACCAUCUAGUAGCUGG